GAUGAAGAACGUAGUGAAAUGCGAUAAGUAAUGUGAAUUGCAGAAUUCAGUGAAUCAUCGAAUCUUUGAACGCAUCUUGCGCUCCUUGGUAUUCUGAGGAGCAUGCCUGUUUGAGUGUCAUUAAAUUCUCAACUACACUGACUUUGAAUUGGUGUGGCUUGGAUUUGGGGGGAAAAUUGUUGUGGGCUUUUUGUAUAGUCUGCUCCCCUGAAAUUGAUUAGCGGUACCUUUGUGGAACUGUCUACAGGUGUGAUAAUUAUCUACAUCUUAGACAUCUGCUGGAAUGCUGCUCUCUAAACCUUACUUGUAUUGACAAUCUUGACCUCAAAUCAGGUAGGACUACCCGCUGAACUUAAGCAUCUCAAUCAGCGGAGGA
rnacentral:misc_RNA from 1 species